AUUGAACGCUAGCGGGAUGCUUUACACAUGCAAGUCGAACGGAGUGGCGGACGUGUGAGCAAUAUAUCGGAACGUGCCCAGUAGCGGGGGAUAACUACUCGAAAGAGUGGCUAAUACCGCAUAAUAUUAUAGCGGCCGAUAUCGGAUUAGCUAGUUGGUGGGGUAAAGGCUCACAAAGGCAACGAUCCGUAGCUGGGUUGAGAGGACGAACAGCAACACUGUGACUGAGACACGGCCCAGACUCCUACGUGAGGCAGCAGUGGGGAAUAUUGGACAAUGGGGGAAACCCUGAUCCAGCCAUCCCGCGUGUAUGAAGAAGGCCUUCGGGUUGUAAAGUACUUUUGGCAGAGAAGCGGUAUCUGCAGAAUAAGCACCGGCUAACUACGUGCCAGCAGCCGCGGUAAUAC
rnacentral:rRNA from 1 species